rnacentral:misc_RNA from 1 species
GUACCUUUAGGUGAUGUUUCUGAGCGCUUGAGAACUGUUCUUGAUGCCACGCAACUUUGACCGCUUUUAAUGGGUUUCCCAAGCCAUGGUGAAGCAGCGACUGGCCGUGGCUCUCUGAUUUGCCCAUGCCCCGUGGAUAAGAUCUCUCUUUCUCGUAUCUCACACUCCCUAGCUAUUCGAAUGGAAAGGUACAUUUCUUUGAUCUUAAACCAUACUUUCAUCACCAAUCUUUGGAUGUACAAUUUGCUUUUUGCUGUUUUGGCACCAUUGUUUGCCUAUUUUCGUGUUCGAUUAUGUUCUUUGUUGCAAUCAGUUUCAUAUCUAUGGUCUCUUUUGACUAGAAAAUGGUGGAUUUGCUGAAAAUACGACUAAAAUGGAAUUAUUGUAUUGCAUCUUAGGCUCUUGAUACAAUACCAACUAGCUAAAUUUGCUUCUGUACAAGAGUGUUAGAAAUAGACUCAGAGCUUGGGUCAUUAAACCUAAUGGAUGAGUUCAAGUGAGCAUUUACAAAUAAGUUUUAGCAAAAACCUUGUUAUCGGCUUGUUAGCCUUAAAAAAAAGGUUGGCAAACCUUUAUUGAGCUAAGCUCUAAGUAGCUAGCAAGCUGCUCGAAUUGUUUGCAGGUUUAAGUGAACCUUGAUUUGUUAUGUUUUAUUGAAGUCCUUGAGAAAUGGAACAGGUGGUUGUAUUUUUCCUUUGAAUUUAUUGUUCUUUUUUGUUUAUAUAAUUCAUCACCUUCUUAGAGGUACAAAAAAUUGUGGAUUUAUUAGUAUCAUCUGUAUUCAAAGGACAGCGCAGAUGAUGGUCUAUCCAGUUUGUUUAGUUCACUUAUAAAAUUGUUUGAA